rnacentral:rRNA from 1 species
UACGUAGGUGACAAGCGUUGUCCGGAUUUACUGGGCGUAAAGAGCGCGCAGGCGGUCGUUCAAGUCGAGUGUGAAAGCCCCCGGCUCAACUGGGGAGGGUCACUCGAUACUGAUCGACUCGAAGGCAGGAGAGGGAAGUGGAAUUCCCGGUGUAGUGGUGAAAUGCGUAGAUAUGCGGAGGAACACCAGUGGCGAAGGCGGCCACCUGGACCGUCCCUGACGCUCAAACACGAAAGCUAGGGUAGCGAACGGG